rnacentral:rRNA from 1 species
UGGGGGGGGCAAGCGUUGUUCGGAAUUACUGGGCGUAAAGGGCUUGUAGGCGGCCAACUAAGUCCGACGUGAAAUCCCCAGGCUUAACCUGGGAACUGCGUCGGAUACUGGAUGGCUUGAAUUCGGGAGAGGGAUGCAGAAUUCCAGGUGUAGCGGUGAAAUGCGUAGAUAUCUGGAGGAAUACCGGUGGCGAAGGCGGCAUCCUGGACCGACAUUGACGCUGAGGAGCGAAAGCUAGGGGAGCAAACGGGAUUAGAUACCCCGGUAGUCCUAGCCCUAAACGAUGAAUGCUUGGUGUGGCGGGUAUCGAUCCCUGCCGUGCCGAAGCUAACGCAUUAAGCAUUCCGCCUGGGGAGUACGGUCGCAAGGCUG